rnacentral:rRNA from 1 species
AGUGAACGCUGGCGGUAGGCCUAACACAUGCAAGUCGAACGGCAGCACAGUAAGAGCUUGCUCUUACGGGUGGCGAGUGGCGGACGGGUGAGGAAUACAUCGGAAUCUACUUUUUCGUGGGGGAUAACGUAGGGAAACUUACGCUAAUACCGCAUACGACCUACGGGUGAAAGCAGGGGAUCUUCGGACCUUGCGCGAUUGAAUGAGCCGAUGUCGGAUUGGCUAGUUGGCGGGGUAAAGGCCCACCAAGGCGACGAUCCGUAGCUGGUCUGAGAGGAUGAUCAGCCACACUGGAACUGAGACACGGUCCAGACUCCUACGGGAGGCAGCAGUGGGGAAUAUUGGACAAUGGGCGCAAGCCUGAUCCAGCCAUACCGCGUGGGUGAAGAAGGCCUUCGGGUUGUAAAGCCCUUUUGUUGGGAAAGAAAGGCAGCAGGUUAAUACCCCGCUGUUCUGACGGUACCCAAAGAAUAAGCACCGGCUAACUUCGUG